ensembl:lncRNA
UGGCGGAUUCAGGAACGAUGCUGUCAACUAGACUUUAAACAUUUGCAUAUUUUCUGUCGUUAUGCAUUUCGUGUGGAUAUUGGUCUUUCAAAAACGUACCUAGGUGGCGAGAGAGGGCGGCGGAGGAGAAGAGAGCGCAGGAGGGCUCGAACCAGGAACACAUCGACAACCGCCACCCUCGAAGUAGCAUUACCCAUGCUGAGCAAGGGGAACAAGUAUUCCAUUGAAUCCCUGAGCUGACGAGGGGCAGAACGACAGAUUUUCACCUUGUCAGCUCGGGGGAUCCAAUCUUUGAACCUUACAGUUAACUAUUCCAACGCAAUAACAACCUGCCUCUCAUUGCAGGAGACUGCCUGUUAUGCGAAUGCAGUAAGCCAGGAUUUUGCCAGCAGCUCUUCGGUGUGCGUCAAGCAUUGCGCUGUUUAUGACUUCAUGCCUAUCAACUCCCGAGAGUUGAGGCUG